rnacentral:hammerhead_ribozyme from 1 species
AUCCAGCUGACGAGUCCUUGAUAGGACGAAACUCGCGUCCUGGAU